GAUGAACGCUGGCGGCGUGCUUAAUACAUGCAAGUCGAGCGAAGCGCUUUAACGGAAUUCUUUGGAAGGAAGAUAAAGUGACUGAGCGGCGGACGGGUGAGUAACGCGUGGGUAACCUGCCUUAUACAGGGGGAUAACAGUUAGAAACGACUGCUAAUACCGCAUAACGUGUCGAGGAGGCAUCUCCUUGACACCAAAGAUUUAUCGCUGAAAGAUGGGCUCGCGUCUGAUUAGCUAGUUGGUGGGGUAACGGCCUACCAAGGCGACGAUCAGUAGCCGGACUGAGAGGUUGAACGGCCACAUUGGGACUGAGAUACGGCCCAG
rnacentral:rRNA from 1 species